CAAGGGGUAUACAGAAGAAAGCAUCUUUUAAGUCAAUUACAGUAAACCAUUUAUAUAUCUCUUUUAUGGAUGCUAACAAUGUAUAGGGAUUGGCAACUACUGGAUGAAUGUCUUUUGUUAUUUCAUUUAUACUUCUUAAAUCCUGUACAAGUCUAUACUCACCAUUGGGUUUCUUCACUGGGAAAAUUGGGGUGUUGUAUUCUGAUUUACAUUCCUCUAGAAUUCGAUAUUUUAAAAAUUUAUCAAUGGUCUUUGCUAUUCCCUGUCGUGCUUCUGGUUUUAUAGGGUAUUGUUUAAUUCGUACAGCCUUUGCUCCUUCUUUUAACUCUACAUGUACCGGUUGUGCCAAUUUAGAUUUUCCAGGUACAUCUGUUUCCCAGACAGAGGGAAUUACUGCAUCUUCUACUUCUUUAGGAAUAUUAGAAAUUGGUUUUUCUUUUAUCAUCAAAAUCUUUCCUGUCUUAGACUCCGGAAUUUUCAUUACGAGUUCACCAUUCUCAAAAGUAAUUACUGCCUCUAGUGCUGCCAGUAGAUCGCGCCCUAAGAGCGGAGUUGGGCAGUCUGGCAUGUAUAAGAAUUCAUGGGUCAAGAUCUUAUCUUCAAAGCUCAAUUCUAGGGGUUGCAAGAAUGGCCGUACCUCCUCCUUCCCUGUGGCUCCAACGACUGCUGCUGACUUGUUCCCGAUUUGCCCCUCAAGAUAAUUUAGUACAGAAUGUGUGGCCCCCGUGUCAAUGAGAAAAUCUACGUCUUUUCCUUCUAAAUGCAAAGUCACCAUGGGCUCUCUUGAUCCUGUCUCCCUCUCAUGUAAAACCAUGACCCUGGCUACACCAUCCAGCUGAUGCUCACCACUUUGAUUAAACAUACUGUCUAACUGAGGCUGACCAUUCUGGCUAAACCGGUUUGGACACUCCCUUUUCCAGUGUCCCUCCAUCCGACAAUAUGCACACUGAUUCAGACCUAAUCUACCAUGACCAGAACCUCUGCCAAAGCCACCUCUAUUAACGCCACGACCACCUCUACCAUGCCCCCGCCCCUGUCUCUGUAAGACUGCCAAAAGGCUUUGCCCCUGUUUCUUGACAAUUUCUCUGUCCCUGUUAUUAUAAACUUUCCAGGCAACCUCUAGGAGUUUAUCCAAGUUUCUUAACUCUUCCCCUUCCAGUUUCUGUAGCUUUUUCCUAAUAUCUUCCUGUGCCUGACCCAGAAAAAUAAAGGCAAGCUGAGUUCUUCCUUUGAAGAUCAGUAUAUUUUCUUUCAGCGGGUGUGGGCGGGGGAGCAGGAUAGCUUUGAGCAGGUGUAUGUGGAGAAGGGGGGGGUUCUCUGAGCAGGCAGAGGAGAGGCAAGCGGAGGAGCGGCUGGCACAGGCAGAGGAGGAUCAGCAGACAAAGAUACAUAAAAACCACAGAUGCCGAACCUGCAACGCUUUCGCGAUGUCUGACGGACGGCUGCCUAGGCAAUACCACCAGGAAUUCCUUUUGCCCAACCAAGCGUAGCUUUCGCUGCGUCUUAAUGGCAGGCCCCCAGACCAGAGAAUAAAGAACCUUACCUCUCACCAGGGGUCGUUGUGAGCGGCGAGGGUCGCGGCUCCGAUGGGCUCCCCGAGAAAUCACCCGGUGCCGGCUGGAGCGUGAUCGGGUCGCGGGGUCCUGGCUGCGCCCACAAGGUCCCAUCUGGGUCGCCAAAAAUGUUAGCGUAGGAAAACAUAUAACCACACAGAGGCGAUCAUAUGCGGUUCUUUAUUCCAGCGCGCGGGACACCGGGGUGAUAAUACACCCAAAUCUGAUGUCCAAAGCAUACAGAGUCGAUUCGUGAUUUUUAUAGUUUAAAUUAUACACAUGUUAACUAACCCCCACCCC